UCCGCUAUAGUGUAGAGGUUUAGCAUACCAGAUUUUCAGAGAAACGCAUCCUGGACAUUCUGGGGACCCGGGUUCGAACCCCGGUAGCGGAG